UACAGAGGGGGCAAGCGUUAUUCGGAAUUACUGGGCGUAAAGGGCUCGUAGGCGGCCAACUAAGUCAUACGUGAAAUCCCUCGGCUUAACCGGGGAACUGCGUCUGAUACUGGAUGGCUUGAGUUCGGGAGAGGGAUGCGGAAUUCCAGGUGUAGCGGUGAAAUGCGUAGAUAUCUGGAGGAACACCGGUGGCGAAGGCGGCAUCCUGGACCGAUACUGACGCUGAGGAGCGAAAGCCAGGGGAGCAAACGGG
rnacentral:rRNA from 1 species